rnacentral:rRNA from 1 species
GAACGCUUGCUGCAUGCUUUAUACAUGCAAGUCGAACGGAGGCCCUAGCUUGCUAGGUGUCCUUAGUGGCGCACGGGUGAGUAACACGUGGGAACAUACCUUAUAGUACGGAAUAACUGCGGGAAACUGUAGCUAAUACCGUAUACUCCAGUAAUGGGAAAGAUUUAUCGCUAUAAGAUUGGCCCGCGCAAGAUUAGCUUGUUGGUGAGGUAAAAGCUCACCAAGGCUUCGAUCUUUAGCUGGUUUGAGAGGACGAUCAGCCACACUGGGACUGAGACACGGCCCAGACUCCUACGGGAGGCAGCAGUAGGGAAUAUUGGACAAUGGGGGCAACCCUGAUCCAGCAAUGCAGCGUGAGUGACGAAGGCCUUAGGGUUGUAAAACUCUUUCAUCGGUGAGGAUAAUGACAGUAGCCGAAGAAGAAGGACCGGCUAAUUC